GACGAACGCUGGCGGCGUGCUUAACACAUGCAAGUCGAACGCUGAAGCUCAGCUUGCUGGGUGGAUGAGUGGCGAACGGGUGAGUAACACGUGAGUAACCUGCCCUCUUCUUUGGGAUAACGCCCGGAAACGGGUGCUAAUACUGGAUAUUCACUGAUUCUCGCCUGGGGGUUGGUGGAAAGGUUUUUUCUGGUGGGGGAUGGGCUCGCGGCCUAUCAGCUUGUUGGUGGGGUGAUGGCCUACCAAGGCUUUGACGGGUAGCCGGCCUGAGAGGGUGACCGGUCACAUUGGGACUGAGAUACGGCCCAGACUCCUACGGGAGGCAGCAGUGGGGAAUAGUGCACAAUGGGCGAAAGCCUGAUGCAGCGACGCCGCGUGAGGGAGGGAGGCCUUCGGGGUGGAAACCUCUUUCGCUCAUGGUCAAGCCGCAGCUUUGGGUUGUGGUGAGGGUAGUGGGUAAAGAAGCGCCGGCUAACUACGUG
rnacentral:rRNA from 1 species